GGGACAGUAGCUCAAUAGGCAGAGCGCCGGUCUCCAAAACCGGAGGUUGAAGGUUCGAGACCUUCCUGGCCCGCCA
rnacentral:tRNA from 1 species